AGUGAACGCUGGCGAUAGGCCUAACACAUGCAAGUCGAGCGGCAGCACAGUAAGAGCUUGCUCUUACGGGUGGCGAGUGGCGGACGGGUGAGGAAUACAUCGGAAUCUACUUUUUCGUGGGGGAUAACGUAGGGAAACUUACGCUAAUACCGCAUACGACCUACGGGUGAAAGCAGGGGAUCUUCGGACCUUGCGCGAUUGAAUGAGCCGAUGUCGGAUUAGCUAGUUGGCGGGGUAAAGGCCCACCAAGGCGACGAUCCGUAGCUGGUCUGAGAGGAUGAUCAGCCACACUGGAACUGAGACACGGUCCAGACUCCUACGGGAGGCAGCAGUGGGGAAUAUUGGACAAUGGGCGCAAGCCUGAUCCAGCCAUACCGCGUGGGUGAAGAAGGCCUUCGGGUUGUAAAGCCCUUUUGUUGGGAAAGAAAAGCAGCAGGUUAAUACCCCGCUGUUCUGACGGUACCCAAAGAAUAAGCACCGGCUAACUUCGUG
rnacentral:rRNA from 1 species